UCGAGGAUCUUCGGCAAUGGGGGCAACCCUGACCGAGCGAGGCCGCGUGUGCGAUGAAGGCCUUCGGGUUGUAAAGCACUGUCGAGGGGGAGAAAAGCCCGAAAGGGUUUGAUCUAUCCCUGGAGGAAGCACGGGCUAAGUUCGUGCCAGCAGCCGCGGUAAGACGAACCGUGCGAACGUUGUUCGGAAUCACUGGGCUUAAAGGGCGCGUAGGCGGGCUAUCAAGUCCGGGGUGAAAUCCUCCCGCUCAACGGGAGAACGGCCUCGGAUACUGAUGGUCUCGAGGGGGAUAGGGGCACACGGAACUGUGGGUGGAGCGGUGAAAUGCGUUGAUAUCCAUAGGAACUCCGGUGGCGAAAGCGGUGUGCUGGAUCCCUUCUGACGCUGAGGCGCGAAAGCCAGGGGAGCGAACGG
rnacentral:rRNA from 1 species